rnacentral:rRNA from 1 species
AUUGAACGCUGGCGGCAGGCCUAACACAUGCAAGUCGAGCGGAGCGGCGGACGGGUGAGUAAUGACUAGGAAUCUGCAUGGUAGUGGGGGAUCAAGUCAGGAAACGGGCGCUAAUACCGCAUACUAUCAGAUGAGCCUAGGGCGGAUUAGCUAGAUGGUGGGGUAAAGGCCUACCAAGGCGACGAUCCGUAACUGGGCUGAGAGGAGGAUCAGUCACACUGGAACGGAGACACGGUCCAGACUCCUACGGGAGGCAGCAGGGGGGAAUAUUGGAAAAUGGUCGAAAGCCUGAACCAGCAAUGCCGCGUGUGUGAAGAAGGUCUUCGGAUUGUAAAGCACUGUUAUUAGAGAGGCGUUACCUACAGAGUAAGCACCGGCUAACUACGUGCCAGCAGCCGCGGUAAUAC